CGAUGGUUCAUUGCAUGCAUUUGCAACAGAAGGGGCCUAUUGUACCAAAGUACGCGACAUACUGAGUGCCUCUGAUGCAACGAAGAAAAUUACACCGCUAAAUUUGCGAAAGACUUUCAGGCAGAUUUGAAAGUCUGCUUAGAGGGAGACAGCGAAUACUCCUUUUGUUCCCCAAGCCAUCUUCCUUCUAGCUACUCGGCUGGCGAUGCUGAUAUAAGUGCACAUAAGAGUCCGAAACAGUUAGCUCGUCUUGUGAAUCUAGGAGGUACACCAAUUAAGGAAUUUUAACGUUUGUGGUAAAUAUAAUCUGAAAAUGUCAAACAUAUAAUACACCAUCUUUUCAUCAACAGGCUAUUGUAAAUUUGGUUUAGCAUGAAAUUGAAAUGAGAUUCACUAUUUGCAGACUAUACAUAGUGUUUGUAACUUUGUAAAAGUAUUCGCAUUUGUGGUUUCUCAUCCAACAUAAGUUAUGGUACCCGUCGC